rnacentral:rRNA from 1 species
CCUACGGGUGGCAGCAGUGAGGAAUAUUGGUCAAUGGGCGCGAGCCUGAACCAGCCAAGUAGCGUGAAGGAUGACUGCCCUACGGGUUGUAAACUUCUUUUAUAAAGGAAUAAAGUGCGGCACGUGUGCCCUUUUGUAUGUACUUUAUGAAUAAGGAUCGGCUAACCCCGUGCCAGCAGCCGCGGUAAUACGGAGGAUCCGAGCGUUAUCCGGAUUUAUUGGGUUUAAAGGGAGCGUAGAUGGGUUGUUGAGUCAGUUGUGAAAGUUUGCGGCUCAACCGUAGAAUUGCAGUUGAUACUGGCAGCCUAGAGUACGGUAGAGGUAGGCGGAAUUCGUGGUGUAGCGGUGAAAUGCUUAGAUAUCACGAAGAACUCCGAUUGCGAAGGCAGCCUGCUAGACAGAGACUGACGUUGAGGUGCGAAAGUGUGGGUAUCAAACAGGAUUAGAUACCCGUGUAGUC